rnacentral:rRNA from 1 species
UACGUAGGGGGCUAGCGUUGUCCGGAAUCAUUGGGCGUAAAGAGCGUGUAGGCGGCCCGGUAAGUCCGCUGUGAAAGUCGGGGGCUCAACCCUCGAAUGCCGGUGGAUACUGUCGGGCUAGAGUGCGGAAGAGGCGAGUGGAAUUCCUGGUGUAGCGGUGAAAUGCGCAGAUAUCAGGAGGAACACCGAUUGCGAAGGCAGCUCGCUGGGACGUUACUGACGCUGAGAACGCGAAAGCGUGGGGAGCAAACAGG